GUAGGUGGCAAGCGUUGUCCGGAAUUAUUGGGCGUAAAGCGCGCGCAGGUGGUUCUUUAAGUCUGAUGUGAAAGCCCCCGGCUCAACCGGGGAGGGUCAUUGGAAACUGGGGAACUUGAGUGCAGGAGAGGAAAGUGGAAUUCCACGUGUAGCGGUGAAAUGCGUAGAUAUGUGGAGGAACACCAGUGGCGAAGGCGACUUUCUGGCCUGUAACUGACACUGAGGCGCGAAAGCGUGGGGAGCAAACAGGGAUUAGAUACCCUGGUAGUCCACGCCGUAAACGAUGAGUGCUAAGUGUUGGGGGGGUUUCCCGCCCCGUCAGUGCUGCAGCUAACGCAUUAAGCACUCCGCCUGGGGAGUACAGUCGCAAGACUG
rnacentral:rRNA from 1 species